rnacentral:sRNA from 1 species
AGAGUAAAGAAAAAAUACUAAGCAAAGAGAAACAAGCCUAAUACGUGUGGGGAUACAUAUAAAAGUCGCUCAGUUUACUCAAUGACAUCAUCUGUGGCUUUUUAUGGAGAAGUUUGCACUGCAAAAUAAGUACAUUUUGGGUUUGUGUUUCAUUUUCGUAGCCUGAACGCAUUGACAAAAUCUGAAAAGGGUAUAAAGUUCUGCAAAAGUAUGUAUGUGGCAGCUGUAGCCGCACAAGGUAUAUAUAAAUUCUGGAUAAGCAUCAACAAACGAGUCGAUCUAACCAUGUCAAUCUCUUUGCCUGUGUGAUCCAACGAUUUCAGAGAAUUUCUGAAUUAGAGACUGAGAAUUUUGACACUAAAAACCAGCAUUUUUAAGAUUUGUCUUUCUAAUCGAUGUAUCUAUGUGUAACAACUUGUUAAAUAUCGGUUAAGAAACACCGGGGGAAUCGGAGGACGUCGGAGUCUUGUUCUAAGACGAGCACGACUUAUCAAAGUUAUAGGAACUCGCAGUUGUCUAGUUCAAUUUGUCACAGCCAAUUGAUUGUUAUUGAUGAUGAUGCCAUAUGAAGAUGAAGCCCUUGGUUUGCUAUAGAUGAGUCAAACAGUUAGCCACAUUUUAUUUUUAUUGAGGCUUCAUGUUUCAUC